CUCUUAUCACGAGAAGCCGAGGGACUGACCCAGUGACGCUUCGGCAACCAGUGUCUACGAGAACUCGCAGGCGCCCGGUGCCAAUUUCAGAGGAUCUCAGGUCAGAUCCGAAGAUGAGAA
rnacentral:ncRNA from 1 species